rnacentral:lncRNA from 1 species
GUUCAAGACUUGUUCUAAGGACAUAAUCAUUAAUUUUCUCAUGCGACUUAAUCUCUUCAUUUGAAUGCUUCAGCUGUAUUAAUGACUUUUUCUCUCAUUUUUCACACGCCUUCUAUCCUGUAUCGCCCAUCUGAGAGACAUUCCUCUGAUCACAGAGCUGCUACCCAUACAGUACCAGGCAUAAGAAGUAGAGCAGCCAGCUACUUUAGAGAGAGAGACUCUUCAUAUGGCCCUGUAACACAUGUGGUCCUUGUUCAUGAGAACUUGUUAUGACUUUAUCUGCUAAGUUAAUUACCCAGCAUUGGCUCACUAGUCAGGUUACCUCUUCAGCCUUCUCCCUGGUUAAGUACUGAUUUCAAAUGCAAGGUUUGUUUUUCAGUGCUGGGUCAUUUCAGUGGCCCUUCUGUCCAGUAUCUUCAAAUCCUUCUCACUGGUGUUCUUACUGUGCUGUAUGCAGAGGCAGUCUCAGCUUUUCAUUUCUGCUUGUCUUCCCCAGAGCCUGACCUCAUCUUGAUUCAAAGAGACCCUGCACCUCCCCAGAUAUCAGGCAAACAACAGGAGAUGGGAUCUGAGAAAAGGAAAUAUUAGGAUUCCAGAUGACAGUUAAGCUGUGAUGGACAUCCGCUUCCUGGGGCAGAGCUGCUGUCAUCCAGAAAUGAAGCAGUCACACCUGAAAGAGGAGAUCAUUUAGAAAAAAAGGUUUUAAUGAGAUUUUAUUCUCCUACUCCAUAUAGAGUCAUCCCAUUUUAUUGGUACGUACCUCCUGUUUGCUUGUUUCCAGAUGUACAGAGCUACAGUAAAAGUAUAUUGAACUCUGUAUGUGCAAUCCAGACUGCUUUACCAAAGUGACUUGCAAUUGCUUCCAAUUAAC